GAUGAACGCUGGCGGCGUGCCUAAUACAUGCAAGUCGAGCGAACAGACGAGGAGCUUGCUCCUCUGACGUUAGCGGCGGACGGGUGAGUAACACGUGGAUAACCUACCUAUAAGACUGGGAUAACUUCGGGAAACCGGAGCUAAUACCGGAUAAUAUAUUGAACCGCAUGGUUCAAUAGUGAAAGGCGGUUUUGCUGUCACUUAUAGAUGGAUCCGCGCCGCAUUAGCUAGUUGGUAGGGUAACGGCUUACCAAGGCAACGAUGCGUAGCCGACCUGAGAGGGUGAUCGGCCACACUGGAACUGAGACACGGUCCAGACUCCUACGGGAGGCAGCAGUAGGGAAUCUUCCGCAAUGGGCGAAAGCCUGACGGAGCAACGCCGCGUGAGUGAUGAAGGUCUUCGGAUCGUAAAACUCUGUUAUUAGGGAAGAACAAAUGUGUAAGUAACUAUGCACGUCUUGACGGUACCUAAUCAGAAAGCCACGGCUAACUACGUG
rnacentral:rRNA from 1 species